rnacentral:antisense_RNA from 1 species
AAUUAUGGUGGGACGUAGCGGGGGAGACGCAAGUCUCGCCGGGUUUCUUGUUGGCCGGUAUCUCAACUCCGUUACGUCUCGCCACCCCG